UACGAAGGGGGCUAGCGUUGUUCGGAAUCACUGGGCGUAAAGGGCGCGUAGGCGGCUUUAUAAGUCGGGGGUGAAAGCCUGUGGCUCAACCACAGAAUUGCCUUCGAUACUGUAGAGCUUGAGACCGGAAGAGGUAAGUGGAACUGCGAGUGUAGAGGUGAAAUUCGUAGAUAUUCGCAAGAACACCAGUGGCGAAGGCGGCUCACUGGCCCGGAACUGACGCUGAGACGCGAAAGCGUGGGGAGCAAACAGG
rnacentral:rRNA from 1 species